rnacentral:rRNA from 1 species
GACAGAGGGUGCAAGCGUUGUUCGGAAUUACUGGGCGUAAAGAGCGCGCAGGCGGUCGUUCAAGUCGAGUGUGAAAGCCCCCGGCUCAACUGGGGAGGGUCACUCGAUACUGAUCGACUUGAAGGCAGGAGAGGGAAGCGGAAUUCCCGGUGUAGUGGUGAAAUGCGUAGAUAUCGGGAGGAACACCAGUGGCGAAGGCGGCUUCCUGGCCUGUUCUUGACGCUGAGGCGCGAAAGCUAGGGGAGCAAACGGG